rnacentral:rRNA from 1 species
GUAACCAUUAAAACUCACAGGUUAAACAGGAUUAGGCUUGGUCAGUAUUUGGAUGGGAGGUCUCCAAAGAAAUCUCAGCAAUGGUAGCA